rnacentral:rRNA from 1 species
AGAGUUUGAUCCUGGCUCAGGAUGAACGCUAGCGGCAGGCCUAACACAUGCAAGUCGAGGGGCAGCGGGGGUAGCAAUACCUGCCGGCGACCGGCGCACGGGUGAGUAACGCGUAUGCAAUCUGCCCUAUACCGGGGGAUAGCUCAGAGAAAUCUGAAUUAAUACCCCAUGACACUGCACAUCGGCAUCGAGGAGCAGUUAAAACUCCGGUGGUAUAGGAUGAACAUGCGUGACAUUAGCUAGUUGGUAGGGUAACGGCCUACCAAGGCGACGAUGUCUAAGGGGUCUGAGAGGAUGAUCCCUCACACUGGUACUGAGACACGGACCAGACUCCUACGGGAGGCAGCAGUGAGGAAUAUUGGUCAAUGGGGGCAACCCUGAACCAGCCAUGCCGCGUGAAGGAAGACUGCCCUAAGGGUUGUAAACUUCUUUUGUACGGGGGUAAUUUUCAUCUCGUGAGGUGGAUUGAAAGUACUGUACGAAUAAGCAUCGGCUAACUCCGUGCCAGCAGCCGCGGUAAUACGGAGGAUGCGAGCGUUAUCCGGAUUUAUUGGGUUUAAAGGGUGCGUAGGCGGGUCUAUAAGUCAGUGGUGAAAGACUGUUGCUUAACAAUAGCAUUGCCAUUGAUACUGUAGGUCUUGAGUACAUUUGAGGUGGGCGGAAUGUGUAGUGUAGCGGUGAAAUGCUUAGAUAUUACACAGAACACCAAUUGCGAAGGCAGCUCACUAAACUGUAACUGACGCUGAUGCACGAAAGCGUGGGGAUCAAACAGGAUUAGAUACCCUGGUAGUCCACGCCGUAAACGAUGAUCACUGGAUGUAUGGGAUAUACACUAUGCGUCUGAGUAAAAGCAUUAAGUGAUCCACCUGGGGAGUACGUCGGCAACGAUGAAACUCAAAGGAAUUGACGGGGGCCCGCACAAGCGGAGGAACAUGUGGUUUAAUUCGAUGAUACGCGAGGAACCUUACCUGGGCUCGAACGCGAGAAGAAUAUAGGUGAAAGCUUAUAGCUAGCAAUAGCUUCUUGCGAGGUGCUGCAUGGUUGUCGUCAGCUCGUGCCGUGAGGUGUCGGCUUAAGUGCCAUAACGAGCGCAACCCUUAUCAUUAGUUGCCAGCGGGUAAAGCCGGGGACUCUAGUGAAACUGCCAGCGUAAGCUGUGAGGAAGGCGGGGAUGACGUCAAAUCAGCACGGCCCUUACGUCCAGGGCUACACACGUGUUACAAUGGGUGGUACAGAGGGCAGCUACUCCGCGAGGAGAUGCUAAUCUCGAAAGCCAUUCUCAGUUCGGAUCGAAGUCUGCAACUCGACUUCGUGAAGCUGGAUUCGCUAGUAAUCGCGCAUCAGCCACGGCGCGGUGAAUACGUUCCCGGGCCUUGUACACACCGCCCGUCAAGCCAUGGGAGCCGGGGGUACCUGAAGUAUGCAACCGCAAGGAGCGUCCUAGGGUAAAACUGGUGACUGGGGCUAAGUCGAACAAGGUA